GGGAUACAUAGGGCGGGCUGGGGAUUGAAGCCCAAAAUAAAACAGUGCAACAAUUAAAGCUCAAGGCUAAAGAUUCAAUCCAAAUCUAAAUCCUAGAAUUUUACAAAACUUCUAGACACUAAAUCAAAAAUCACUGCCGCAUGAUUGAAGUAGACAAGGGAAUCACCCACAAGUGAAAACCCACACCACCGGAACCAUACCCAUCGCAGAAACAAAGCCAGAUCACUCUACCCCAACCAAAACCAUACACAGAGAAAGCUCAAAUCCAAAGCUUUGGAAGAUAAGUGCUCUAAUAGUCAAAUGUUCAACUCCUUUGCCAUUGAAGAAGAUGAAGAGCUUAACUCUAAAAAUCGGGCACAUCAUCUGAGCCUUUCUAGAAGCCACAAAAAAAAUGAAGUAGUGUCGAUCACC
rnacentral:misc_RNA from 1 species